rnacentral:rRNA from 1 species
ACUGCUCAGUAACACGUGGAUAACCUGCCCUUGGGACCGGGAUAACCCCGGGAAACUGGGGAUAAACCCGGAUAGGUGAUGCUGCCUGGAAUGGUUCUUCACCGAAACACCUUCGGGUGCCCAAGGAUGGGUCUGCGGCCGAUUAGGUUGUUGGUAGGGUAACGGCCUACCAAGCCGAUCAUCGGUACGGGUUGUGAGAGCAAGAGCCCGGAGAUGGAACCUGAGACAAGGUUCCAGGCCCUACGGGGGCGCAGCAGGCGCGAAACCUCCGCAAUGCACGCAAGUGCGACGGGGGAACCCCAAGUGCCACUUCUUAACGGGGUGGCUUUUCAGAAGUGUAAAAAGCUUCUGGAAUAAGGGCUGGGCAAGACCGGUGCCAGCAGCCGCGGUAAAUAC